rnacentral:lncRNA from 1 species
AUGGAGAUAGAUAGGAGGGAGUGGAGUGCCUCUUGCAGCUAUAUAUAUAUGAUCUAUCUAGUCUAUGCAUAGUUGUAAUCGGAUUAAACGUACGUACGUUCGUUGUGAUCGAUGAGAAAGAACAAUACCUAAUGUACGUGUCUGUGUCUCAUCAUCAUAUACUGUACUACUAAAUUCUGGAGAGUAUAUAUGUGUAUGUAAUCUGACUUAGAAUAGGCA